rnacentral:rRNA from 1 species
GUAUGUUCAAUCUGCCUCAAAGUGGGGAAUAACUGUUGGAAACGACAGCUAAUACCCCAUAGGGUAAUACAAGGCAUCUUGUAUUGCUUAAAGGUGCAUUUUGCAUCGCUAUGAGAUGAGAACAUAUCACAUUAGCUUGUUGGUGGGGUAAUGGCCCACCAAGGCAAUGAUGUGUAGCCGGACUGAGAGGUUGAACGGCCACAAUGGGACUGAGACACGGCCCAUACUCCUACGGGAGGCAGCAGUAGGGAAUUUUUCACAAUGGACGAAAGUCUGAUGAAGCAAUGCCGCGUGAAGGAA